GUCUACAUCCAUGCUACCCUGAACAAACCUGAUCCCAUCUAAUCUCGGAAGCUAAGCAGGGUCAGGCCUUGCUUAGCUUGGAUAGGAGACCACCUAGGAAGACCAGGUGCUGUAGGCA
rnacentral:rRNA from 1 species